rnacentral:rRNA from 1 species
GUCUACGACCAUGCUGCCCUGAACAAGCCUGAUCUUGUCCGAUCUAGGAAGCUAAGUAGGGUCGGGCCUGGUUAGUACUUGGAUGGGAGACCACCUAGGAAGACCAGGUGCUGUAGGCA